GCAAACCCACAAAAGCAAGCCUGGGCUGCCAGGGUCCUCCGCGCCUGCUCUCCCUCGACUGCAGCAGUCCCUAAACUCCCCUCUUGGGAAACCGUGCCAGUUUUCUACAUGGAAAACUAUCAUCAUGUUCAUACAGAUGGGGAAACUGAGGCAUUAGAGAGGCCAAGUGACUUGCCCAAGGUCACAGGUCUACGCGAUGGCUGGAUCUACCUGGACGUUACUUGCUAACUUCUGAUCCGUGAUCCCGUUUAGCGUGCUGCCCUAAAAGCCAGGUGAAAACGACCCAGAGGGUGGGAG